AUAGCAUUCAAGUCCUGCCACGGCUGUCGGGUAUCCUUCAAGUUUGGUACAGAAUUGACACUUUGCAGAAAGAAGAAAGAUUUGAAAUACACUUGUCACCCGUUUCCGAGAUUCCACUAAAACCAUUGUAUCGAAAGGAUGGGCAGGAAGGCAAGGAGCGUGGGGCCAUGGACAAUUCUGAUUUGAUGGAGACAGACGUGAAAGCACAGAGGAACAUCUGGAGAAAUUUCUGAAAUGCUGGUUCGCUGCCGCUGUUACUGGGCGAUCGAGAAUCUUACGGAGGGAAAGCCCCAAAAUCCCUGGUUUUGCCUGCCGCUGGCGACCGAGACUGAGGUCGAAUCGUUUGGAUAGAGAUGGUGCUCAGUACUCGGUGUCGGAGGGCUGAUCGGACAACUCAGAGUCGGACUGUGGUCGGGCAUGGCAGGGAGAGUUUCUCUUCCUCCUCCUGUCUGCGUGAGAUGUGGGACUUUCGAGAGACUUUGAAAUUUUUUACUGUGCCCAUGGCCUGUUCUUCAUCAAGUUAUGGUAUUGUUGCACUGUUGUAACUAUAUGUUAUAAUUAUAUGUUUUUUGUUAGUUUUUCAGUCUUGGUCUGUCCUGUGUUCUUAUGA